rnacentral:misc_RNA from 1 species
UGCCGACCGCAUCAACAAGAUGCUUGCAGUGCUGGAGACAAACAUCUUGUGGGUGAAUCCCGACUGUGGACUCAAAACUCGUAAGUACGCGGAGGUGAACCCGGCCCUCAAAAACAUGGUGGCCGCAGCAAAGCUCCUACGAAAAGAGCUUGCAAGUGCCAAGUGAGUUUGCUGAUGAGUCUCCCCAAGCAAGCGUCCCUUGAAAAAAGAGAUGAGUUUGUUUUGUUUGUCAAAAUAACUGAGUUGCGAAAUGUUUAGUAGUGUGUAGGGAGCAAUUCUUGGGAGCAAUUCUUGCUUUCGAUAUUCUCUCUCUAUAUCUGUUUUUUUCCCCAUUUUUCACCAGAGGCACCAAACUGCAAUA